rnacentral:rRNA from 1 species
CCUACGGGAGGCAGCAGUGGGGGAUAUUGCGCAAUGGGGGAAACCCUGAUGCAGCGACGCCGCGUGAGUGAAGAAGUAUUUCGGUAUGUAAAGCUCUAUCAGCAGGGAAGAAAAAAGACGGUACCUGACUAAGAAGCCCCGGCUAACUACGUGCCAGCAGCCGCGGUAAUACGUAGGGGGCAAGCGUUAUCCGGAUUUACUGGGUGUAAAGGGAGCGUAGACGGCAAUACAAGUCGGAAGUGAAAUACCCGGGCUCAACCUGGGAACUGCUAUUGAAACUGUCGAGCUUGAGUGAAGUAGAGGAA